AUUGAACGCUGGCGGCAGGCCUAACACAUGCAAGUCGAGCGGAUGAAGGGAGCUUGCUCCUGGAUUCAGCGGCGGACGGGUGAGUAAUGCCUAUGAAUCUGCCUGGUAGUGGGGGAUAACGUCCGGAAACGGGCGCUAAUACCGCAUACGUCCUGCGGGAGAAAGUGGGGGAUCUUCGGACCUCACGCUAUCAGAUGAGCCUAGGUCGGAUUAGCUAGUUGGUGGGGUAAAGGCCUACCAAGGCGACGAUCCGUAACUGGUCUGAGAGGAUGAUCAGUCACACUGGAACUGAGACACGGUCAAGACGACUAAGGGAGGCAGCAGUGGGGAAUAUUGGACAAUGGGCGAAAGCAUGAUCCAGCCAUGCCGCGUGUGUGAAGAAGGUCUUCGGAUUGUAAAGCACUUUAAGUUGGGAGGAAGGGCAGUAAGUUAAGACCUUGCUGUUUUGACGUUACCAACAGAAUAAGCACCGGCUAACUUCGUG
rnacentral:rRNA from 1 species